AUUGAACGCUGGCGGCAGGCUUAACACAUGCAAGUCGAGCGAGCGGCGGACGGGUGAGUAAUGUCUGGGCCACUGCCUGAUGGAGGGGGAUAACUACUGGAAACGGUAGCUACUACCGCAUACCCUCAGUUGUGCCCAGAUGGGAUUAGCUAGUAGGUGGGGUAAUGGCUCACCUAGGCGACGAUCCCUAUCUGGUCUGAGAGGAUGACCAGCCAAACUGGAACGGAGACACGGUCCAGACGCCUACGGGAGGCAGCAGUGGGGAAUAUUGCACAAUGGGCGCAAGCCUGAUGCAGCCAUGCCGCGUGUGUGAAGAAGGCCUUCGGGUUGUAAAGCACUGUCAGCGAGGAGGCGUUAUUCGCAGAAGAAGCACCGGCUAACUCCGUGCCAGCAGCCGCGGUAAUUC
rnacentral:rRNA from 1 species